rnacentral:rRNA from 1 species
GGGCGCAAGCCUGAUGCAGCCAUGCCGCGUGUGUGAAGAAGGCCUUCGGGUUGUAAAGCACUUUCAGUCAGGAGGAAAGGUUAGUAGUUAAUACCUGCUAGCUGUGACGUUACUGACAGAAGAAGCACCGGCUAACUCCGUGCCAGCAGCCGCGGUAAUACGGAGGGUGCGAGCGUUAAUCGGAAUUACUGGGCGUAAAGCGUACGCAGGCGGUUUGUUAAGCGAGAUGUGAAAGCCCCGGGCUUAACCUGGGAACUGCAUUUCGAACUGGCAAACUAGAGUGUGAUAGAGGGUGGUAGAAUUUCAGGUGUAGCGGUGAAAUGCGUAGAGAUCUGAAGGAAUACCGAUGGCGAAGGCAGCCACCUGGGUCAACACUGACGCUCAUGUACGAAAGCGUGGGGAGCAAACAGGAUUAGAUACCCUGGUAGUCCACGCCGUAAACGAUGUCUACUAGGAGCUGGGGGUCUUCGGACAACUUUUCCAAAGCUAACGCAUUAAGUAGACCGCCUGGGGAGUACGGCCGC